AGCGUUUGGUAGUUUCGGUCAGAAGAAAGUGCUAAGGCCAAUAACACCGCAGAGAGAGUACUGCAAUACACUGGUCACAAUUGAUUUCACCCAUAUGAUACCAUGCCAAUGCUCUGUCCCAUGCUCCCACUCUACUCUACAAGUAGACUAGUAGCCAGCGGCGGGCUAGCGAUCUCAUUUUUACAGUGGCUUCUUGUGAUCAACUACAAUGCUGAUAGCAGGGUAGUGUUAGAGCAACUGAACGGGAGGAUUCAUUUCAUCUGUUCAUGUUCAUUUGGGUUCGCAUGAACAAAAAUGAUGACCCAAUGCAAAAAUGACGAUCCAAUGCAGAGGCUCAUUUUUAUGUUGUGUCCGUCUUAUGUUCGCGUGGAUCUAUUUUUACCCUAAAUUUGGGUCAUAUCUGAGUCGCAGGUGAACACAAAACAGACGUUUUUUUGUGUCUGCAUCGUCCGCUUGUGCCUGGGCUGACCCACCCGUCACCCAUCCACCCACUCACUUAUUUCUAUUGGUUUAAUUCGAUGGCCCACCCCACCCACCUCUCUCUUAUUAUUUUAUUGCUACAGUGUUUCGCUUCACUUUUUUUUUGUUGGAUGCAUCGGCUGAUCCAUUUUAAAAAACGGACAGGCGGGCGGCCGAACCAAAACAGACAAAAAAAAACGUUAACCGUUUGGAUCGGUGCGUUGGAGUUGCUCUUACUACGUAAGGGGGACUCUCACUCACUUGCAUGCCCUACGAACUGGGCAGGGGAAAUCAUUUUUCAAACACACUACAAUUGCUACUACAAGGAAAGGUCCGGAGGAGAUGGGAAACGAGUGAUGGGAUGUGAGUGCCCCAUCUCACCUCACCGCCAUCCACAUCCAUACGUGCAUCCAUCACGGCUGAGGCAAUUCUCUUGUGCCAUUUCUUGCUUGAUCCAUCAUGGAACGGCAUGCUUCGUCGGUCUCAUCUUGACAUGAGAUGUCUCUGCAUAUGUUUGUUUGUGCACUAGCGGUGCUAAUAGCUAGCAUAGGUGAAGUAGGAUGUGAGGUGCCUUCUAGCUUGAUUGCAGAAAGUGACUGGCAUGGCCGGCUAUGGCUGGACAAUCGAUGUCCAUGGAGCUGAAGAUUCACAAGGUAUCGGGUUGUGGAUGGACACUCCGGUGUAGAGCAUCUGAAGAUCAUAUGCAGCACCGGUCGUAAUAUGAUCUAUUCAUGUCCCGGUAUCCUUUGCGCGGCAGCUACCGUUUUUGCGCCCUACUGUAGCCCUGCAAGUUGUAGAGAUUGAGUGUGUACACUGAACAUGGCUCUGCAUAAUGAAAACUGAAACUGUUUUGGCAUUCUUUGUUUUAGAAGUCCCACGACUUUUUUUAGUCUCAACUAAAAAGUCACUAGUCCCUAUCCGUUUGUUUUCAUGAACUAAACAAAGAUUAGAUGUCAUUAAAUGACAUGCAAAAAGACUGUUACCUCUAGUAAUGUACUACUCCC
rnacentral:lncRNA from 1 species